rnacentral:rRNA from 1 species
CGAGAAAGCCCGCAAGGGUGAGUAAAGCGGCGCACGGGUGCGUAACACGUGGGUAAUCUGCCCUAGAGUCCGGAAUAACUCCCCGAAAGGGGUGCUAAUGCCGGAUGAGCCCACGGGGUCCUUGGACCCUGAGGGAAAAGGUGGCCUCUGUAUACAAGCUAUCACAUCAGGAUGAGCCCGCGGCCCAUCAGCUCGUUGGCGGGGUAAUGGCCCACCAAGGCUACGACGGGUAGCUGGUCUGAGAGGACGAUCAGCCACACUGGAACUGAGACACGGUCCAGACUCCUACGGGAGGCAGCAGUGGGGAAUCUUGCGCAAUGGGCGAAAGCCUGACGCAGCAACGCCGCGUGUGUGAUGAAGGUCUUCGGAUCGUAAAGCACUGUCGCGAGGGACG